rnacentral:rRNA from 1 species
AGAUGCGAUCAUACCAGCAGUAAAGCACCGGAUCCCAUCAGAACUCCGAAGUUAAACGUGCUUGGGUGAGAAGUACCAUGAUGGGUGACCUCCUGGGAAGUCCUCGUGUUGCAUCCU